CACUCCCCAACCCCCUCUCUCGCCAACACCCAAAACAAACCAAUGCGCCCUGGCCACUGUCCUGUUUAGCAAGCUCCAGUGUCACGUUUCAGGAUGACAGGUAAACACAGGUAAGAUAAGGCCUCUUGUGAGACCUGAAGAGCCAGAUGGAAUGUAUGCCCAGAGAAAUUCCCGGUGUCAAGAUUGAGCCACAGGAUGAAUCACCUUCUUCCCAGCCCUACCUGCAGCUGUGUGAGCCCCUCACACCAUAGCCAUCCCAGCCUGGGGAAGAUGGAGGAAGACAGGACAGCCUUGUCCUGACCCCCAAGGGGCCCAGCAAUGCCGCCCUCCACGCUCUGGCUGUAUCUGCAUCACCUCCUUUCUGGUCCUGGAGUGAUUCAGGUUCCUGAACGCACCCGAGAGGGACCCGAGGCGAUUGGCCUCCAUCACGCCGCAGAGCUCCCUUUGGCUGGAAAGCCCGGACUCUUGGCGCCCCUCCCGGCUAGGACAUGAGCCUCGGGAGGCACCCACGCGUGUGCAGGGCCCGCGUGUGCAGACGCGGCUCCGGAGGACCUUCCCACUGACCCGAUGGACAUGAGUUGGAGCAAACUCCGGGAGAGGCCGCAGGACAGGGAAGCCUGGCGUGCUGCAGUCCGUGGGGCCGCAGAGUUGGACACAACUGAGCUACAAGACGACACGUGAUAGUAGGGCUUCCCUGGUGGCUCAGAUGGUAAAGAAUCUGCCUGCAAUGUGGGAGACCUGGGUUCGAUCCCUGGGUCAGGAAGAUCCCC
ensembl:lncRNA